AUUGAACGCUGGCGGCAUGCCUUACACAUGCAAGUCGAGCGGUAACAGAUCUACGGAUGCUGACGAGUGGCGAACGGGUGAGUAAUGUAUCGGAACGUGCCCAGUCGUGGGGGAUAACUACUCGAAAGAGUGGCUAAUACCGCAUACGACCUGAGGGUGGAAGCGGGGGAUCGCAAGACCUCGCGCUAUUGGAGCGGCCGAUGUCAGAUUAGGUAGUUGGUGGGGUAAAGGCCCACCAAGCCAACGAUCUGUAGCUGGUCUGAGAGGACGACCAGCCACACUGGGACUGAGACACGGCCCAGACUCCUACGGGAGGCAGCAGUGGGGAAUUUUGGACAAUGGACGCAAGUCUGAUCCAGCCAUGCCGCGUGCGGGAAGAAGGCCUUCGGGUUGUAAACCGCUUUUGUCAGGGAAGAAACGCUCUGGGUUAAUACCUCGGGGUAAUGACGGUACCUGAAGAAUAAGCACCGGCUAACUACGUGCCAGCAGCCGCGGUAACAC
rnacentral:rRNA from 1 species